CGGCAAUGGAGGAAACUCUGACCGAGCAACGCCGCGUGAACGACGAAGUACUUUGGUAUGUAAAGUUCUUUUAUCAAGGAAGAAAAGCAAGUGGCGAACCAUUUGUUUGCCGGUACUUGAUGAAUAAGCCCCGGCUAAUUAUGUGCCAGCAGCCGCGGUAAGACAUAAGGGGCAAGUGUUAUCCGGAAUUAUUGGGCGUAAAGGGUGCGUAGGCGGUCUAGUAAGUCAGUGGUGUAACGGCAACGCUCAACGUUGUCCGGCUAUUGAAACUGCUAAACUUGAGUUAGAUAGAGGCGAGUGGAAUUCCAUGUGUAGCGGUAAAAUGCGUAAAUAUAUGGAGGAACACCAGAGGCGUAGGCGGCUCGCUGGGUCUUAACUGACGCUGAGGCACGAAAGCGUGGGGAGCAAACAGGAUUAGAUACCCUGGUAGUCCACGCCGUAAACGAUGAGUACUAAGUGUCGGGUUAAACCGGUACUGAAGUUAACACAUUAAGUACUCCGCCUGAGUAGUACGUACGCAAGUAUGAAACUUAAAGGAAUUGACGGGACUCUGCACAAGCGGUGGAUCAUGUUGUUUAAUUCGAAGAUACCCGAAAAACCUUACCAGGUCUUGACAUGUUUUUGCGAAACGGUAGUAAUAUCGUAGAGGUUAUCAGAAACACAGGUGGUGCAUGGUUGUCGUCAGCUCGUGUCGUGAGAUGUUAGGUUAAGUCCUAAAACGAGCGAAACCCUUAUCGUUAGUUGCCAGCACGUUAUGGUGGGGACUUUAACGAGACUGCCAGUGAUAAACUGGAGGAAGGUGAGGAUCACGUCAAAUCAGCAUGCCCCUUAUGACCUGGGCUACAAACGUGAUACAAUGGCUGUUACAAAGAGUAGCUGAA
rnacentral:rRNA from 2 species